CAAACUUGAUGGUGUUUAUGACGUCGAAUAUCGACGUCAUAAACACGAAACAUGAUGGUGUUUAUGACGUCGAAUAUCGACGUCAUAAACACCAAAC
rnacentral:miRNA from 1 species